rnacentral:rRNA from 1 species
UAAUACAUCGGAACGUGUCUUCUAGUGGGGGAUAACUGCCCGAAAGGCGAGCUAUAACCGCAUGAGACCUGAGGGUGAAAGCGGGGGAGUCGCAAGACCUCGCGCUGGAAGAGCGGCCGAUGUCCGAUUAGCUAGUUGGUGAGGUAAAGGCUCACCAAGGCGACGAUCGGUAGCUGGUCUGAGAGGACGACCAGCCACACUGGGACUGAGACACAGCCCAG